rnacentral:tRNA from 1 species
UGGCUCAGAUGGUAAAGCAUCUGCCUACAAUGCAGGAGACCCAGGUUCUAUCCCUGG